GACGGAGGGUGCUAGCGUUGUUCGGAUUGACUGGGCGUAAAGGGCGUGUAGGCGGUUGGCCCAGUCCGGUGUGAAAUCCCGAGGCUUAGCCUCGGAAGUGCAUCGGAAACUAGCCGACUGGAGCGCGAUAGAGGAGGGUGGAAUUCCUGGUGUAGCGGUGAAAUGCGUAGAUAUCAGGAGGAACACCGGCGGCGAAGGCGGCCCUCUGGAUCGUUGCUGACGCUGAGACGCGAAAGCGUGGGGAGCAAACAGG
rnacentral:rRNA from 2 species